rnacentral:lncRNA from 1 species
GCUGAAUCUGUGAGCUUGCAGAUCUUGUCAUUAUACCAGCCGAGGGACAAAGGCGUUUUGCCCUGGCAUCACCCCAGCAAUCGCAGAGUGAGUGUUCGGUUCACAAAGAGGCCUCUGUGUCACCCAGUAAAUGUCUUCAGGCUGCAAUCCUGCCCAAAUCUACUCGGCAGCGUCCUAAUGAAUUCAAGGGGGCUUACUCCUAGGUAAGUGGCGAUCUCAACAGCUUUCGUUGGUGCAUCAACUACAGUACGUCCUUUCCUGGAUGAGGAUAGCUUGGCUACUGUGAGUUAUCUAUGAGUAACCUUAAUUUUAGACCACUGUAUUGUGUCCUAAGUGAGGCAUCCCUUACAGCUGGUCCAGACACUACAGAAGAACACUGGGUUAUAAGCAGGGCAUACCCUCAAACAUUUCUCCAGUGAAAAUAGGGAUGUCCUAUUCCAUCAUCAUCAUCACUUCAUGAUUUAUACCGCACCCAUCUGACAUGGUUGCCCCAGCCACUCUGGGCAGCUUCCAACACAUAUAAAAACAUAAUAAAACAUUAAACAUUUUUUUAAAAAAACCUUCCCUAUACAGGGCUGUUUCCAGAUGUAUUCUGAAGGUUGUGUAGUUACUUAUCUCCUUGGUUUGGGGGUCAUAUAACUCCAUACCCUCCAACAUUUCUCUGAUGAAAAUAGGGACAUUCUAAGGAAAAGUGGGACAUUCUAUAAUAAUAAUAAUAAUAAUAAUAAUAAUAAUAAUAAUAAUAAUAAAAAAUAAUUUUUUAUUUAUACCCCGCCCUUCCCGGUUCAAAAACCAGGCUCAGGGCAGCUAACAACAAAUUUAAAACACUUUAAAACACUUAAUUAUAAAAGCAGCAUAAAAUACAGUAGAAAAACAUGAAUAACAAUAAAAUUCGAAAAUCAAAAAUCAAUUAGAUAAACCCUAGGGCUAGCUGGCUGAACUGGUCCUACUUGGGCCAGCGAGGAGGUCAGGGGAGAAUUAGCUGUGGGGUCUCAGAGUGGGUAAUCUCCAUAAAAGGGGAGGGAGAGGGAAGGGAGGGGAAAUAAAAGAUCUAGGAUCGAUUCAGAAACUGGAAUGGCUUCUGUAAAUCUGGGACUGUCCCUAGAAAGUAGAGUCACUUGGAGGGUCUGGCAGUACCCCAUAACAGGAAAAAGGCUUCUGGUUAGUUUUGGUGUGUCCAGCUGAUAUUAAUCAUACCCUCCAGGUGUCCAAUUUUCCAGGGGCAGUCCUGUAAUUAUGAAAGCUAUCCCAGCUUCUGAUUUGAUCCCGGAAUGCCCCUAUUUUCCUUGCAGUUACAGCAACACCAGCGAGAGAGAAUCCCAUUGCCUCUCCUUGGCCUCUCCAUGGCUGCGGCUUGAAACCUCUUCCUUUGGCCAGCUCAAAGUGGUUGCUGGACAGUGGAUGAGGAGGAGAAGAGGCUGUAGCAGGCAAACACGUACAUAAAUAUAUAAACCACAUGUCUGAAGCAGCACAGGAAAACAGCCCGGAAACCAUUUUGACUCCCAAACUGACCAAAUGAUUUCUCUGCUAGGUCAAGGAAAAUGGAAAAGCCUCCCCAUUGUCUUUUCCUUCACAAAUCCUGUCUUAAGGGUAUGUCUGUGUAGGAAUAGGGUGAGCCUGUGACCUGGCUCAGGAACUAAGUAUUUGUCAUUACCAAAGACUGGCCAGGCUCCCCAGGGUAUCCAAUCAAGUAAGCAUUAACAGGUAACCUGCCAGACAGGAGAUAAACAACGCACUCAGAUUGCUGUUGUAGACCGCCCCUUCUGUGAUGUAGGUAUGAUGUAUCUGGGGGUGGUCUUGGACUCCAGUGCGGGCAAUUUAAACUGUCUAUAUAAGGGCGGACACACCUUUCUUCGGGGUCCUCCUCCUUCUUCUGCGUGUGAAGGGGGCACCCUGUUGCAACAGUUCAAUAAAGAUCAGGCUUACUAGCUGCUUUGCUUCUCAAUAUUCUAUCCUCUGUUAUUUUCUCCGACCAAUGGAGAACCUGCAAAGGACUCUCCAAGGGCUCUUGUGUCCCCCAUAAGGGAAUAAGGGCAGAUUUUCGUUUAUUACACCAGUAAAAAUAUUGGGAGGGGGCAACCCUAGAAUCGCAGAAUUUUGAGCAGGUAUUCCAUUAAGAGCUGGUUUUUUCCCAAAGAGAAGGGGAGCAAGACAAGAAAGGAGCUAGAUGCUGAUUACCGGUUCUUCCCGCUGCUUCCUGACCUAGUUCUCCUCCGACAUGCAGCCGCAGAAUCUAGGUUAAGUACACAUCCUUGGGGAACGCCUGACCUCAAGCAGCAAAGGAAGCAAAGGACCUUGAGCACUUGGGAGCUGAGCAAUUUGGUUUUCCCCCACUGGAAAAAAACAAAACAAAAAGGAAAUUGAUUCUUUGUUUAGUAAAAAUCUCAGUUGCGCCUGCAAAUAAAACGGCGGGGACAAACAUGGCUGUUGUUGACACAGUGGCUUGUAAUCUAAAUUCAUCUACGCCAACCUUAUUUGGAGGCUUCCCAGCAGAUGGUAUCUUUUCGGUGUGUAUGCUUACAGCCCUGAAAUAUUUUAUCGUGUCAGCCACAGGGCCUGUAAAAACACUGGCACUCCGAACUGCUGCUUAAUUAGGAUUCCUUUUUUUUUAAGCCCAACACAUAAGGUUGCCAACUGAUAGCAAAAAUCUCAACCUGCACUGCUCUUGUGCUUUUAAGCAGCCGCUUGAAGUGUAUGGGUGUAGGAGCAGAUGCUGAGAUUUUUUCUUCUUCAAGAAAUUGGAGCUGUCCUCUCAUCCACCGAUCCCUUAGUCAACACUGGAACAACAAGGCUCAGGAGAAGGGGUCUGUGUUAAGUUGUGGGUGAACAUAUCAGACGACACAGCGAUUCUUCAGACAGCUCUUGUUUAUUCACAGGCCAGAACAGAACUGAACUGAAGGGUUCAGCCAACCUGCUUAUACAGAGCUCCACUACAAAGCAACAGUAACAACUUUCUGUAACUAUCCAAUCACUGAACGUCACUUUCAAUUCCUUAUUUGCAUAUGCGGACCUGAGUGAAAACUAUCUACAGUAUCCCCUGCUGGCCCAGGGUGAGAACUUCAGUACAUAACAGUCUGAUUCCCCCUUCCUGAUUAAAAUUGCCCCCAAACUUGCCCCUGAAGACCUUUGAGAAGUAAACGUUUUAGCUCUUCAAAUGAAAUGAAAUUGGGAUUAGCAGCUGCUUUUGCUCUCCAGUUUUGUUUGGUUUUAUUCUGCUGUUGAUGCACUGUUAUGUUUUUAUUUGUCAUUAUAUUGUUUUUCUUUUAUUGUUUGAUUCAACUGUUAGGUAGGCAGGUGGGUGGGAAGAUAGACAGGACAGAGGAGACUUUGAGGAGAUAUCCCAGCCAAUUUCAGAAAAUUGUAAAAUGCUGCACUUGGAGGGGACCCAGCGAGGGCAUCCAAACCUACAAAUCUCUUCUCCCAAUCCUAUAAUAACAAGCUUACCCUCCGCCAAAGACCUUAACCUGUAGUUUGUAUAUAGGUAGACCAAUAAAAUGUUAGCCAUGAGCAGAGGUCAGAAAACUAGGGCUGUCCUUUGUAUAUACAGAGCACUGUGAAAUAAAAAAAUUAAGGUCUAAUAUAAAUAAUAAAUGUUCAUAAAUGUACUAAGCAAACACGUACAUAAAUAUAUAAACCACAUGUCUGAAACCCCACAGAAAAAGUCCUGAAAUCAUUUUGUCCCUCCCAAAUUGACCUCAAAUAUUUCUCUGCAAAGUCGAAGGAAAUGGAAAAGCCUCCCCAUUGUCUUUUCAUUCACAAAUCCUGUCUUAGGGGUAUGUCUGUGUAUGAAUAGGGUGAGCCUGUGACCUGGCUCAGGAACUAAGUAUUUGCCAUUACAAAAGACUGGCCAGGCUCCCCAGGGUAUCCAAUCAAGUAAGCAUUAACAGGUAACCUGGAGGUAAACAAUGCACUCAGAUUUCUGUUGUAGACCGCCCUUUCUGUGAUGUAGGUAUGAUGUAUCUGGGGGUGGUCUUGGACUCCAGGGCGGGCAAUUUAAAAUGUCUAUAUAAGGGCGGGCACACCUUUGUUUGGGGUCCUCUUCCUUUUCUGCAUGUGAGGGGAGCACUCUGUUGCAACAGUUCAAUAAAGAUCAGGCUUACGAGCUGCUUUGCUUCUCAAUAUUCUCUGGUUGGCCUCUGUUAUUUUCUCCGACCUAUGGAGAACCUGCAAAGGACUCUCUAAGGGCUCUUGUGUCCCCCCAUAAGGGAAUAAGGGCAGAUUUUCGUUUAUUACAACUGGAAUCUACGUGGCUGGACUAACAAACGCACACAGCUCUUGUCCGUAUGUGUUUGGACAUAUAUCAAAGAGGAAGCAAUUGCAGCCAAUUUUCAUCAUUAGUCCCCAAAAAAUAAAAAUAAAAAAAUCCUGGGGAGAAAAAUGACUCAACCUCAGUGGGGAAGAAAGCAAGCAAAGAAAGAAAUGUUCUUGUCUUGCCAAGUCUCACCCGAGAACUGAUCGCUUGUUUAUUCCUGAGAUUGGGGCGAGAGCUGGACACUCUCAGAGCUCCAGGCAGCAGCUGCUUUAGCCAUCUGAAUGUUUUCUGCAAACAGCUUUUGCAGUGAUUCCUGGAAGCCCUGAGCUGGGUGGGAGGGGAGUGUGUCUGCGGCUGUUGCCAUCUGGAAGGGAGAGGAUGAAAAGACAGUGUGGUGUAGUGGUUAGAGCGCUGCGCCAGGAGCUGGGAGAGCAGGGUUCAAAUCCCGCCACAGCUCACCGAGUCACUAGGGGCCGAUCGAUCUUGCACAGAAACUUGCCUCAUUAUUUGACAUCGUUCUGACACACACCGGGGAUUAAGCCCCAUUGUUUUGGGGAAAUAUAAGGCUUGCUUCAAGCAUGGCAACAUUUCUCCAUGCAGGAAGAUUUUGGAAAAUGCCGUGCAAGACCACACCUAGUGACCCACCUAACUGCAAAUCCCUCUGAUCCGUCGAUUGCCUUGGCAGCCAUGGCCAAUGAAAUGCACAUCUUGAAAAUAUAAAAAAAAUAAGAUCUCCACGGUGAGCUCUUUUGCAAUGAACUUUGCAUGGGGUUGUAGCUCAUUUGAGAGAGAGAAUGAAAUCUCCCAGACUCCAAAUUUAAGGAACUGUUUGUUUCAGAGCUCACUCUCACACAAACACACAAGUUAUAGUUAAAUACCAGCCCUUUAUCCCUUCUCCAUUUUUAAGCAGCUAAUUUUGUCUUUGUUAUCAAUGACAAGAUAAUUCCUUCAGCUGGGCUAUUCAGCGAAUCCCAGAUAACAGUCGCUUCUUUUUUCUAAUCAGGCUACCGUCAGACAUUUGGAGACAAUCUUUCCUUGGAGAGUCCCAGAUGGGAUGAAUGUUAUUUGUUCCAAGGUGGAGGAUGGUCCUUGUUAUUUAAAUAACGCAUUCAGCAUGCAUUGUUUUGCAAGAGACAACACUUUAAAAAAAAAAAAAUUUAAUAAAUGGGCCCAGAAAUCUUGGUUUUCCUGUGCAAAGCAGAGCAGUUAGAAAUAGAACAGCAGACAAAAGGAUAUCUUUCCUUCCAGCAGAGGUUUAGCCGGGAAAUGAGCAAAGAUAACGUAUUAAAUAUAGCUGUGUUGUUCAGCAGAAAUAAGAAAUAUUGUGCCUAGGGGGAGAAAUAAUAUAUCAUUUGUCACUCGCAGGGGAUCCGCUGGGGGAAUUCAUGGGAAAGGUCUAGGAGAGAGGAGAAUUAUAAACAGGCCUUUUCAGACCAGCUGGACAAGGCAGGAAAUGGGGAAAAUGAUACAUAGAUCUUGGAAACAUGGAAGGAUCAGAUGUAAAAGAAAGGGGGUUGCAAAUGCUUAGUUAUUUGUGAAUUCUGAUAACCGGUGUGAUUCGGGCAGAGCUAUGGGCAAAAACACUUAUAUCUCUCUGAAUUUUGCAGCCCAAGGCUCUAUGGUGAUAGGUGACAGUAUGCAGUUGUUAGAGUGGGAGUCCAGGGUUCAAAUCCCCACUGGUGACCAUGAAGCUCAGUGGGCGUCCUUGGGCCUGGCACAGGUGGCGCUGUGGUCUAAACCACUGAGCUUCUUGGGCUGGCCAAUCAGAAGGUCGGCGGUUCAAAUCCCUGCGACGGGGUGAGCUCCCGUUGCUCUGUCCCAGCUCCUGCCAACCUAGCAGUUCAAAAGCACUCCAGCACAAGUAGAUAAAUAGGUACCACUCUGGCGGGAAGGUAAAUGGUGUUUCCGUGCGCUCUGGUUUACACCACGGUGUUCCAAUGCGCCAGAAGCGGUUUAGUCCUGCUGGCCACAUGACCCAGAAAGCUGUCUGUGGACAAACGCCGGCUCCCUCGGCCUGAAAGCGAGAUUUGUGCCACAACCCCAAAGUCGCCUUUGACUGGACUUAACAGUCCCGGGGUCCUUUUCCUUUACCUACCUUGGGCCAAUCCCUGCCUCCCAGCCUAACCUACCUCACAGGGUUGUUGUGGGGACUGAAUGAGGUAGAGGGAUGAACAAUGCAUGCCACCUUGAGCUCCUUGGAAGGAAACUAGCUUUGCGCUGGCGACCUCGUGUUUCUGCCUCAUGCAAAAUCCUUUUCUUUGCCCUCUAAUCCUUCCUGGAGUAUGUUGGUUGUGCAUUUGACUACAGUGGUACCUCAGUUUAAGAAUAGCCCUGUUUACAAACGACAGUCAUUCCUCGGGUUACAGAUGCUUCGGGUUGUGCGUUUUUGGGUUGCGCACCGCGCCGAACCCGGAAGUACCGGAACAAGUUACUUUCGGGUUUCGGCGCAUGCACAGAAGGGCUAAAUUGCACUUUGCGCAUGUGCAGGAGUGCCAAAUCACAACCUGUGUGUGUGCAGAUGCAGCGCUGCGGGUUGCGAACGUGCCUCCUGCCCGGAUCACGUUCGCAACCCAAGUGUCCACUGUACUCGGUUUACAAACUCCGCAAAACCGGAAGUAGCGUCCCGGUUUGCAAACUUUACCUCGGUCUAAGAACAGAAGCUGAAGGGUGGAAGGGCACCGGCAGUGGGAGGCCUCAUUAGGGAAAGCACGCCUCGGUUUAAGAACGGACUUCCGGAACAGAUUAAGUUCGUAAACCGAGGUACCACUGUACAUCUUGCUUGCUGCUACGAAGUGUGAUUGUGGGCACCCAUGCGCUUCCUAUCCUUUUGUACACUGCGCUGAGAUUUUGGGUGCCCAGGGGCCUAUAAACAUUGCAUUAUUAUUAUUAUUAUUAUAAUUUUAAAACAAAGCCUAAUCAUAAUGAAUAAUCAAUUGUGCAGGAGGCGCCUCAACCAAGUGCAGAAGCUGAGCUUAAUCAGAUGCCAGUUACUCUGCCGGCACAAGGAGGCAGUAAAUGCCCAGGAACAAGGCAGAGCUGCGGGAGAGGACAACACACACAACUUUCCCCCACUGCCGAGAAUGUCCCCGGCCAAAAAAGAAGAAACUGUCUGCCCUGUCUGAGAAGCCUCUUUCGGGUCCAGGCGGGAGGUGAAGGGAAGGCCAGCCAGCUGCCUUUUCUGGCUCCGUGCUCUUUGGCCAAGGAGAAAAAUGUGCCAAAAUGUGAGCAAUUCUUGGAGAACUCUUAGAAGUCCGGAG